rnacentral:lncRNA from 1 species
CAGUGUAGGCUGUAGAGAGGUGUGCAAGCUGCCUUUGGAAAGUUUCAGAGUAUCAUAGCCUGGGUUCAUAUUGGCCAAGUCAUCAGGUCCAUCUGCACCAAGCAGAACAAGGAGCAUGUGAUUGAGGCCCUACACAGUGCCAAGUUCAAGUUCCUGGCUGCCAGAAGAUCCACAUCUCAAAGAAGUGGUGCUUUAUCAAGUUCAAUUUGAAUGAAGUUGGAGACAUGGUGGCUGAGAAGUAGCUCAUCCCAGAUGACUGUGGAGUCAAAUACAUCCCCAAUUGUGACUCUCUGGACAAAUGACAAGCUCUGUA